CUCAAGGUCAACAGCCUUCUUCAACACAGUGCAGCUGCAGCCUGGCCCGGAGGCUGAGGAUGAAUAAUUCAGGCUGCACUGAGAGGAGAGUGCGGGAGAGAAACUGAGAUCACAGCACCUAGCUUGUUAAUUAGGAAAAAAUGUCUUCCUGCUCGGCCAUUUGAAGGCAUAGGACACGUGUGCGAGGACUAGCGACACAGGACUGGUAGAGGUGACUAAGCUCUCGGGAGCCGAAGGGCCUGGGUGAGAACCUCGCUCAGGAAGGCAGCCGACCAGCUGCAAGGGUGAGGAGCUAAGUCUGCAGACUGACUGCUGGAAGUCAGUGUGCGCCUGCCUCAGUUGGCUCCCUUCAGGACAGGACAGGACAGGACAGGACAGGACAGGACAGGACAGAUAUUUGGUACACUUUCACCUGGUGAUCUGGAGCUCGAUCCUAUUACAUCAGCCCAAAACAAGAGAAAGAUCUAUGUGUGAAGAUGUCUUUGAGGGAACACUUUCAGAAAAAAACCCACUUUGGGCAUAUGCUUACUUUUCAUACAUAAGGCAAAAGAUAUUUCUGGCUGCGCUCCAGGUUCCGAUUCUCAGAGAGAACAUCUGAUUGGCCAGGCUUGGGUCACGUGACAACCCCCUGGGGAGGGCGGAGGCCUCCUUUCCACAAAGAGAACUCCUUAAAUAGAACCCGUUUCUGCUACUGAAAGAGAAGAUAAUGAAUGCUGGACAGGCAAACACUGCAAGCGCCUAUGACACUGCAAGAAGCAUGAGUUUCCUUGGCUACAGAGGCGUCCAGGCACUUGCAGAGGAAUCACUCCAAGCCUUGCAGUAGCACACAAGGAGUUGAAAAAGUGACUCUCCCAAUGCUCCAGUGCCGUUAGAUUUAGUUAUAAUCAUAUGUUGCAGUGUCAUCAGGCAAGCAGCAUGUGAAAUCAAAGUAGGAACAUUUCAUUUUAAACUUUGCUGAUUUUUCAGAUUUGCUUUGCAUUCUUGAUAAUGAUUUCUUAUCCUGCUUUUAUGUCUCCUCAGAUAAAGUGCCAUCAUACAUGUUAGCCCCAUUAAACAUAAAGUAAGCAUUAUUGAUAAUUAUAAUCAGGGUUAUGAUGCAUUAAAA